rnacentral:rRNA from 1 species
GAUGAGCGCUGGCGGCGUGCCUAAUACAUGCAAGUCGAGCGAACAGAUGAGGAGCUUGCUCCUCUGACGUUAGCGGCGGACGGGUGAGUAACACGUGGAUAACCUACCUAUAAGACUGGGAUAACUUCGGGAAACCGGAGCUAAUACCGGAUAAUAUAUUGAACCGCAUGGUUCAAUAGUGAAAGACGGUUUUGCUGUCACUUAUAGAUGGAUCCGCGCCGCAUUAGCUAGUUGGUAAGGUAACGGCUUACCAAGGCAACGAUGCGUAGCCGACCUGAGGGGGUGAUCGGCCACACUGGAACUGAGACACGGUCCAGACUCCUACGGGAGGCAGCAGUAGGGAAUCUUCCGCAAUGGGCGAAAGCCUGACGGGGCAACGCCGCGUGAGUGAUGAAGGUCUUCGGAUCGUAAAACUCUGUUAUUAGGGAAGAACAAAUGUGUAAGUAACUAUGCACGUCUUGACGGUACCUAAUCAGAAAGCCACGGCUAACUACGUG